rnacentral:rRNA from 1 species
AAAGCGUGGGUAGCAAACAGGAUUAGAUACCCUGGUAGUCCACGCCGUAAACGCUGUCUACUUGGAGGUUGGGGUUUUAGAUUUUGGCUUUCGGCGCUAACGCAUUAAGUAGACCGCCUGGGGAGUACGGCCGCAAGGUUAAAACUCAAAUGAAUUGACGGGGGCCCGCACAAGCGGUGGAGCAUGUGGUUUAAUUCGAUGCAACGCGAAGAACCUUACCUACUCUUGACAUCCAGCGAAGCCUUUAGAGAUAGAGGCGUGCCUUCGGGAGCGCUGAGACAGGUGCUGCAUGGCUGUCGUCAGCUCGUGUUGUGAAAUGUUGGGUUAAGUCCCGCAACGAGCGCAACCCUUAUCCUUGUUUGCCAGCACGUAAUGGUGGGAACUCCAGGGAGACUGCCGGUGAUAAACCGGAGGAAGGUGGGGACGACGUCAAGUCAUCAUGGCCCUUACGAGUAGGGCUACACACGUGCUACAAUGGCAGAUACAGAGGGCAGCGAGACAGCGAUGUUUAGCGAAUCCCUUAAAGUUUGUCGUAGUCCGGAUUGGAGUCUGCAACUCGACUCCAUGAAGUCGGAAUCGCUAGUAAUCGUGGAUCAGAAUGCCACGGUGAAUACGUCCCCGGGCCUUGUACACACCGCCCGU